rnacentral:rRNA from 1 species
AGUGGGGAAUAUUGGACAAUGGGGGCAACCCUGAUCCAGCCAUGCCGCGUGAGUGAUGAAGGCCUUAGGGUUGUAAAGCUCUUUCGCCCGCGAAGAUAAUGACGGUAGCGGGAGAAGAAGCCCCGGCUAACUUCGUGCCAGCAGCCGCGGUAAUACGAAGGGGGCUAGCGUUGUUCGGAAUCACUGGGCGUAAAGCGUACGUAGGCGGGCACUUAAGUCAGGGGUGAAAGCCUGGAGCUCAACUCCAGAACUGCCUUUGAUACUGGGUGUCUCGAGUCCGGGAGAGGUGAGUGGAACUGCUAGUGUAGAGGUGAAAUUCGUAGAUAUUAGCAAGAACACCAGUGGCGAAGGCGGCUCACUGGCCCGGUACUGACGCUGAGGUACGAAAGCGUGGGGAGCAAA